rfam:Gemmatimonadetes bacterium 13_1_40CM_4_69_5 13_1_40cm_4_scaffold_2478, whole genome shotgun sequence.
GACCCGGUAGCUCAGUUGGUAGAGCAACGGACUUUUAAUCCGUAGGCCCUGGGUUCGAUCCCCAGCCGGGUCA